GUAAGGAAUAUUGGACAAUGGACGCAAGUCUGAUCCAGCCAUGCCGCGUGAAGGAUUAAGGUCCUCUGGAUUGUAAACUUCUUUUAUAAGGGACGAAAAAAGGCUUUUCUAAGUCGUCUGACGGUACCUUAUGAAUAAGCACCGGCUAACUCCGUGCCAGCAGCCGCGGUAAUACGGAGGGUGCAAGCGUUAUCCGGAUUCACUGGGUUUAAAGGGUGCGUAGGCGGGCAGGUAAGUCAGUGGUGAAAUCCUAGAGCUUAACUCUAGAACUGCCAUUGAUACUAUCUGUCUUGAAUAUUGUGGAGGUAAGCGGAAUAUGUCAUGUAGCGGUGAAAUGCUUAGAUAUGACAUAGAACACCUAUUGCGAAGGCAGCUUACUACGCAUAUAUUGACGCUGAGGCACGAAAGCGUGGGGAUCAAACAGGAUUAGAAACCCGGGUAGUCC
rnacentral:rRNA from 1 species